rnacentral:rRNA from 1 species
UACGUAGGGUGCAAGCGUUGUCCGGAAUUAUUGGGCGUAAAGAGCUCGUAGGCGGUCUGUCGCGUCUGCUGUGAAAACUCGGGGCUUAACCCCGGCCUGCAGUGGGUACGGGCAGACUAGAGUGCGGUAGGGGGAGACUGGAAUUCCUGGUGUAGCGGUGAAAUGCGCAGGAUAUCAGGAGGAACACCGGUGGCGAAGGCGGGAUCUCUGGGCCGUAACUGACGCUGAGGAGCGAAAGCAUGGGGAGCGAACAGGAUUGAG